rnacentral:rRNA from 1 species
ACGAACGCUGGCGGCGUGCUUAACACCUGCAAGUCGAACGGAAAGGCCCUGCUUUUGUGGGGUGCUCGAGUGGCGAACGGGUGAGUAACACGUGAGUAACCUGCCCUUGACUUUGGGAUAACUUCAGGAAACUGGGGCUAAUACCGGAUAGGAGCUCCUGCUGCAUGGUGGGGGUUGGAAAGUUUCGGCGGUUGGGGAUGGACUCGCGGCUUAUCAGCUUGUUGGUGGGGUAGUGGCUUACCAAGGCUUUGACGGGUAGCCGGCCUGAGAGGGUGACCGGCCACAUUGGGACUGAGAUACGGCACAGACUCCUACGGGAGACAGCAGUGGGGAAUAUUGCACAAUGGGCGGAAGCCUGAUGCAGCAACGCCGCGUGCGAGAUGACGGCCUUCGGGUUGUAAACCGCUUUCGCCUGUGACGAAGCGUGAGUGACGGUAAUGGGUAAAGAAGCACCGGCUAACUACGUG